AAAAAAAUAUAUAAAUACUGUACACCAAUUACAAACAAUGAUUAAGAUUACAAGAUGAACAAUGAUUUAAUGAUAUGAAAAAUAUAUCAAACUAACAAAAGUCCAGAUUUAUCCAUCUACCUGAAUGAAGCUACAACUACUGUAGUACGAGUUUCGCCAUCCCAUGAUUCCUGCAUUGAACUGGGACUCUCAUAAUGGAGAGGCUGUUGAAGAAAGCCGUGGGCCAAAAGGUCGCUGGUUCAUAUCCCACUUAAGGCCCUCACUGACAUAUCCCGUCGGUCAGGGGCUCGCACUCUAAUAAAGUCUGUUUAAUUUGAAGGGGAUGAAAUGGGAAGGCUGCUGGAAACUCAUCUGAGAUGUCUGCACUCCCAGUCCCAUGAGGGGUCCUUCACUGUGGGUCUUACACAUGUUUAUGACUAAAUCCACAUUAGAUCCUUGUCUUGGCAUGCGACGUCAGCGUUUCUGUGGCAUUCACACUAAGCACUAUACAGCAGAGUGACUAAUGAGUGAAAUUUGUGUAUUGUAUUGGGUUGCUAGGCAACUCUGGAUUUUCCAUUGAAUCACUGAGCUACAUCAUGGCAGGAGACUACUGGAAUACAUCUCAGUUUCAUUUCAGACAGUCGCAAUUUACUCCCUCCAGCAACGUCGAGACCUCUAAUGUAGAACAGCUGACAGUAGUCAGAGAUUCAAUUAAACUAUUACAAUGACAUUCCGCAAGUAGCUCUCGCUCCUUAGUUUGAAGCACUGAGUUUGGCCGAGAAUUCACAAGCGUGCCACAAAUCGCCUGAUACACACUGCACACAAACAUGCCAAGAGCUGACUAAAUUCACUUACACCAAUCUGACUGGUUGGCUUCUACAAUGGACUCCAUGCACACUAAAAUCUCAGUUGCUCUGCUCAGUGUGGACUAGGACAGCAGACGCGGACAGUUCAAUGUCUGUCAUAUACAGGACAGCCCUCCACCGAAUGUCCAGAGUCACUACGGCCCAACACCAUGCAGCAGUGUGAAAGCAAGUGUGACGCUACACCCAUCUCCGGUGGCGACGGUAAGUCAGUCACCCUUCCCCUAAUCCCG
rnacentral:lncRNA from 1 species